ensembl:lncRNA
GGGGCUGCAGCCGGGCGCCUCCUCGGGCUCCGGGCCGCGUCCCCUCACGGCUCUGCCCGCGUCCGGGGGGUCCGUUCCUCUCAGCCGUCGCUCUCCGGUUGAUAGUACCCAGCUGCAUGGAAAUAGGAGGAAUGUCUGCUGCUUCAAACAAAUUUCCAGCCUUCUGGAGGUUAUUCUCAGCUGAAGUCAAUGGAAAGGACAGAUACAUGAGAGCAGAGACCACUUUCUGAAGCCAUUCUGUGCAAAAGUUUGUACUAGAACUACUAGGGGAUGGAAAUCAUAAUACAGCUGAAGAGGAAGGAAUGGACUUGGACCAGGUCAGGAGGAGAGCACAGCAGAUAUACCUGGCUCUGGAUUCUGGUGAGUCCUUCAAGAACGUGCAAUCAAAGCCCUUGUGUAAAUCCUACAUAAGUGAGGGUCUGAGGGAGCAGGGAGUAAAUCCUUCCCAAUGAACCUGGACAAAGAUUUCCCAGUCGCUCCUCUGAUUUUCUCGAAGAGUUGGCAACAAAACCAUUGGUCUCCUUCCUACAAGAAAGAAAGAAAGGAGUAAAAACCCUCAGGUAGGACUUGGAAGAAGGCCCUGGCCUGCCCUCAUCUCGACACUGUUUGCACACUGCUCAGCUUACUCAUGACCAUUCUGUCAGCACGAUACUGAGGUGAAGUAGAGAAGAACACAGUAUUUGGUAAUCAAAACGAAGGGAGAAACAAAAGAAGAGGCCAGCAAUGCAAGGCAGUUAUUAAGAGGUGUCUUUGCCACUCUUCAACAUCAGCCUGUUGUGAAUCAUGCAGAGAAGGAACAGAAUCCACCACAGCCUGCUAUUUAUUAUACAUGGAUGAAGCUGAAGAACUAUUGUCACAACAAAGGGAUCCAAAAGCAGUUAUUACAACUCAUCAAUCAAAUAAGCCACUGGAGUACCAUUCACGGUGCUAUAACCAGCCUAAAAGGCACAGUUUGAUCCGAAGUAAUGAACAGUUUCUUACCAUUACGGGAGAAUGACGAGAGACGUUAUGAACCAAGAGGGAAUACCUGGAGAGCGUAGAGCUGAGUCUCCUAAUGCUGAAGUGGAAGGGAGCUUAUAAAAAUGUUACAAAAGGAAUGACAGUGUUGACUAUGGACUUAUCAGCAUCAUGACAGGAAGAGGCUAUUGAAAGAAGCAACCACAUCAGAAAAUUGCAUACUUCUUUGGUAAAUGCUUUGUUUAAGCACAUGAUCAUGCUCUUACGAGUGCCUUGUGAACACCAUUUUUUGCCUCCUGGUAGCAGCAAGUGACAAAUGUCAACUCUUGGUGUACUUACCACAGGCUCGUCCUAGUAUGCCAUCUGCGUGGUUUGGCCCAUGCCCAAAGAAAAACAAUAACCACACCAUCACCUAUCAGAAAAUAAAAUUUGACCUAAAGUCAUCACAAAGCUUUCGACAGGCAUUAUGGCAACACAGAAUCAUAGCUUUUCAUGGGCAUAGCUUAAGGAAAAAAAAACCAAUACCAAAUACCACCAGCAACAAAUAAAAGCAGCAGGGCACCACAUGGCACCUUCAGAUAUUAAAUAAAACCAAGAAACAAAGAAAAAAAAAAGGAACAAAAACUAACCAAGCCACAAAACCCACACCUCUGCCACAGUAACUGCAAAUGUUCUCAGAACGGACGGGAGAUGAUCUUUGACAUUCAUCCAGUGUAAUUUUACUACUUAAAUGGGUACAUUCUCAGAGAUUAUUGCUCGGCUGGAAAGAAAUUAGGUACAAUUCUGAAGUGCAGUUGUUAGGAGUUUGUUUUAUAUGUUUGUUGUUAAGGCACUGAAUCAUGUUACAGUCUCUUUGUAGGUAGCAGAAAUGCUGUGAUUUCAAACAUCCAAAAUUUCCCAUUACACACAAGGAUCUUAAUUAACACUAAAUGGGGAAUUCAUAUUUUAUGUUUAGUUGAUUAUAAUCUAAAGAUUUAUAUGAAUGAAUAUUUGAUUUAUAUGAAUAUGAAGAUUUAAAAACCCUAUUUUUAUAGCUUGAUUACUAUAAAACUCACUCCAGCUUUAUCAGUGUGCUUCUUAGGUUUUGUUGUAGUUGUUCCAAAUUAAGCAUUAUCUUACAUGAGAGUAAGCUGCAUUGUUAGUCUCAAAUCCAUUUUACAAAUAGUUACAAUUGCAUCUUAAGAAGGUAAAGAAUAUUUUUGUAGGUGUCUCCACUUUUCAGUACUGUGUAUAUCCUUCUGUAUGCUUGCUAAUCUCUACCUUAGCUAUCAUCUGUUUUGUCUUUCUCUCAAAAAGAAAUUUGCUUUUUUUUUUUACUAAGAAUUAGGUUUUUUUUCCCCUCACCCCCUUUCUACCCCACUGGCUGCUUUCAAGUUUUCUUUUAGGAGGGGCUUCACUUUGUGUUAUCCUUACAUAUAAAAAUUCCCAGUAAGUAUUUUCAGAGAUCUGUGAGGUCAUAUUAGCCUGGAUUCCCUUCAUGCUUCUCUGGUGGAGGUAUAUUUGUUAUUUUGUCACCUAUCGGAGGCCCUGAUAUAGCUGCAGGUGACUGGGAAGGGACAUCCUUCCUUUGUAGCAGUAAAAUACUCACAGCCUCCUUUAUCACAGAACGUGCACCCUGCAACAGCCUCUAAGGGAAUGAAAGCAGAAAAAUGCUGCAGCUGCCAUGAAGAGGCAAAAAUUGAAACUAGCUCCAGAUUUAAAUUUCAGAGAGAUUCAAACAUCAGCAUUCUCAGCACUACCUUUUCAAAAAUACAACGCAGGUAAGAGCUCACAUUUCAAAAAGUUCAAGUGUUUUUCAGUUUAGAGUUUGGGCUCCAGCCUUCUGAGAGACCUUGGCUUUGUAACAUCCCAAAAUAUAGUUCAGUCAAAAAUAACAUUCUCCUAAUGGAAAGUUUUCUCCCAUUUCUUCACUUGAUAAAGCUGGUCAAAACAAGCCCUAUUUUGCCUACAGGAUUCAUUACUGUGUUAUAGCUCUUUAUAUUAGACUAGGUUUUCAAGGUAGCCCUUGGAGAGACUGUAUUUCUACUUUGUAAUGAUUUUACCAUAGGAAAAGUUUAUCUAGAAAGAUGCCUGGAAAACAGUGAGGCCACCAGGGAUUUUUUUUUUUUUUUUUUUAAGAAUCUAACUCCCCCUUAUAGAGUAAUCAGAGGGAUGUGUUAAGCUUGCUGCAUUCUCUUUCAAUCUUUUGUUGGAGUAUUGCAUUAUCAAGUUGCUUGCACUGUGAGAGGUUCAAGCAGUUGGGUUAGUGCAAAGCACAGUGACCAAGCACAAUGAAUGCAAGUCAGAAAUAAAACUAGGUUUUGGAGUGCAGAGCGACUGAUCUCUCACUUUGUCACUCAAGCAGAUGUUGCCAAAGGUGAGGAGCAAUUUUUUUUUUCUUGAAUUUAACUUGGCUGCCAAAUCAUGUACCACCUGAAUAGCCAGACACUGCACAGCUACUGGUUAGAUGCUUUUCAAACCUGUUUUCUGCCUCAGGGCUAUCAGAUGUGCAGCUGAGGUAAAGAUUUUUCCAUUGUCAUUCUCCUUAACUUGAGGACAUACUGCUCACUGCAGUAAGUAAAUGGUUGGGCUGCUUUAGAUCAUGAGAGGGCUUAUUUAAUUUAGGUGUUUAACAGUAUUAUUCCCCUCUUUCCUCUAUUUUUAAGGGGAGUUCUGCCCAGUAUGGGAACAAGCUACUAAUGAGCAGAGGAGAACUUCAUCCCAGAAGAUAGUUAUUAGAAAUCAAGGUGGAGGUAAAUGUAGCUUGAAAGAUCCAACCAAAACUGUCUGCCAAACAUACUGCUUUUUGAUAAUUGUGGCCUUCCAUAUACUCCAGCUACCUUUUAAUCAGUGGGAAUUUGUUUACAGGAGAAUUCUGAGAUCUGGUAACUUUCCUAUCCCUUUUCCAGGCUAUCUGUUUACCUUCUGGUAUCUCAGAAGCAUUCAGCAAAUAAGUCUCCAGAAAGACUGUUUGAGAACAGCUCCUACACAAGACUGUAACAAUAUAAGGAGGUGCACUUCAGAGUAGAAAUAUGAACCCUAAUAAUAGGUUUUUACUUAACAAUAUAAUCUCAUUUUUAGAAUUCUUGGGUUUGCCUCCUUCCAAAACAGCUGUGCUGUCUUGAUAAGAUUUUUAGGUUAUAAACAAGCAAAUAAAUAUCAGAAAUUGGACUUGUACAUGAAUAGGACCUAACAUUAUUAUUUUCCACUUCCUUCCCUUCCCCCCCCCCAACCCCCCCAAGUAUUUUCAUAGUCACACAUUUUCCUGUAAAGUGUAACCAUUACUGACCCCAUUACUAACAAAUCUCUCAGAAAACCCCACUUAAUAGGGAGAAACAUGAAAACCUCAAGAAACAAAAGGUAUCUGAUUUCCAAACAGAAUGCCUAUUUAAGACCAAACCUCAUUAGGGACAAGUCCUCCAGGCAAACAUCCUCUCAUUAUUUAUUGUCAUGGUUUACUGCAGAUUCCUCCGUGUAAUUCACAGUUGGCUUUUAAAUAAAUCUCUCUGUAUGGUAAAUGUGAUAUUCCUUCAUUUAAGCAGCAGGGUUAUCUUAAAACUGAGCAAGACCAAAAUUUCAUAUUUCAAAACUCAUAAACAGCUUAGAGCAUGACAGUAAUGCAAUGACGAGAAGAAAAAGUAUGACUGACAACAUAUGGUUGAAGAGUUUGGUAGCAGUGGUUAUACAAUGUAAUUCAUUUCAUGAUAAUAUAAGUCAGACUGCAAAGCAAAAGCAAUUAGGAAAUAAGUGAUGAUAAUGAAGAAUUACUCAUGGUGAGGAACUUCUCUAUAGUGGAAGGAUGGUUCUGUGUUCUAAUCAACAGUUAAGGCCUUAAAGCCCUGGAUUUAAAGCUCAGUAUCCUAUCCUUGGUCCUGAUUUUUAGAGGGUCAGUUGGGCCCAAGAGUAUGAAAAGUUCUGAGGUACUCUCAUCUGUUGGUGAAAUUGGUCCACAACUCCUACAGCUCAAGUGAGCAUCUGGAAAUGGGCAGGAGACAGCUGGAAGCUGGAAAGCUUCUCUUUCUCCUAAGGCAUACUGUGGUUUCCUUGCUUAUCUUAUCCAGGAGAUGGAAGUCUGGGAGAUCUCCCUACAUACUUUAAUCACAUCAAAGGGUUAACUAUGAUUUUGCCUAAGAUGAAAAGUGCUUGACCAUGAAUUCCAAUUCUUAUUGCAAUAAGAUGCUGAGAAUGGUUAAAGGAGCCCGGAGUACCUCCAUAAUUUGCAUCUCUGAUUAGAACAGGGUGAAGUUCUCUUCAAGGAGAAAGUCCUCUGGUGUGAUCCAUUUUUCUCCUGUAGCUAAAAAUUCUUGGGCUGAUUCAGCACCUGGGCUGAUGAGUUGGCCCCUGGAAGCACUCACCAUGGUUGCUCUUGAGGAAGCUGGAGGGGCAGCGCAGCGGAAAGUUUCUCUCCUCACCAGAGGACAUGCACGCAGCCCAGUGCUUGCCAGGACAAUGCCUCCUCCAUCCCUUUCUUGGCUCAGAGCACAGCGUCUACCACUACUCAUAAAAAAUACUGUCUCUUAAAUUUCAUAUUUACCACUUUGCGUAACAGAUUUUCUUAAACAAACAGAAAGCUGAUCAGGAUAAAUACCAGAAUAAGUGAAAACAGUUGUUUUUAAUCUCAGUGUGUUGAAUGCAGAUAUUGGCGUGAACAGAUUGCCUUUUUUAGUACACCUAUUAUAGUGUCACACCCAUUCUUUGCUGAAUGCAUACCUAUGAGACAGUGUGUGUGUGUGUGUGUGUGUGUAAUAAAACCCCUGGAUUAUUAAGCAUUUUUUCUAUUCUGCUAUGUCAGUCCAAAUUCACUUUGAAUACAAGAAUGAUGGAAUUGUUCAAUAUAUUGUGUGCAGAAGGUUACGACCUCUGCAGUCAGCCCCUGAAACACCACUGCUGUCUUCUUACUUCUGGGGUAGCUGAAAUGAAUUACAAGGCAGAGUCAUAAAGCCAGAACAUUUUACUAAAGCUAAGACCUCUGAAUAUGCAGUAUUUAAGCAUUUUUGUCCUCUCUCUCGUUCCCAAAUUACUUAAAAUCUGUGUAAGAUUUCAAAGAUGAAAACCAAGCAUACUGUUUUCACUUUUUAUCUUGUUUUUGAACAAGGUUUCAAUUCAACAACAGCUCAAAUGGGUGAAUAGCCUUUUGCAUGUAAUAAAAAUACCACAAUUUCUUCAUCCUUUUGUGUACACGCAUGGAAAGAGACAUCUUAAAAUUGUUAUCAUACAUAUCAUCAAGUAGAAAGACUUGGGUAUGAUUGGUUUGAAUGCUGUGGAGGAUAUACCACACUGAGCCACUCUUGUAACCCAGCCCAAAGGAUGGGUGAAUGCUUAUUGUUUGAAGGGGACAGAAGGAAUACUGUCAGUGAAAAUCAAAGACAAAAGUAAAACUGCCUUCCUCUGCACGUGAAGACAGUUCUUGUUAGUGCACAGACUGACCCAGACAAAUUGGAACACCUAGUGGAAAGUUAUCAUCUCCCCUCUGCAUUUCCACAUUAAUUGAACAUAGGCAAGAGCUCCAAACAAUCAGUUACUUUUCUUCCACACACACAGCAUCAGAAGGACACUCAAAAGAUAACCGACAAGCUAAAAUUCAAGUUACUGAAAUUUAUGAUUGCUGGCUGUUAUUCAGUAAAGUAUUUUAACACCAAAAUUUUAAUAAAGCUGCCGUAAAUAUUCCGUGCCCAUGGUGCCAAGGUUCAGCAGAUUCCUCUGUUAACACAACAGGUCUAACCGAGGGAACUUGAAGACUUCUCUGGCAAGAUCCUCUGAACAGAUGCAACUUGAAUAAUCUUUUGAAAAAUAAAGCCCUAUUUCCCCAUGCCUCAAUGGUACAAGGCCUCAAGGAAAAUGCAGACACAGCAAAAGGCCUAAAAGCCCAAUCUUAACCUCAGCACGCUCAGGGAAGAGCACUCUGCCUCCAAUUUGGGGAAGUCCAGGCUGUCCCACUCACAAAACGUUCUCUUUGUUCUCCACAGGAAUCACCUUGUACUGCUGAUAACUCACUUCUUUCCAAGGGUUUCAGGUUUAGGAUUCCCUUUGAUGCUAGAUUCACUGCUGGGAACAGUAAACUACUCUAGCUUUGAUGGAGCUGCAAUUAUUGCCUAUUGUCAGCUCUUCCGUUGUUUCCUCUAAAACUCUUAUUUAUGUCACCAUUUCAUUUUGGAUAGGUUUCCGCCUUGUUCCUUUCUGAUUUCAAUAAUGCCAUUCAGGGAAGUUAUAAAUCAGACAGCCUGAGGAGCACAUAUCAUUUUGAUAUAAGAAAUACAACAUGUCCUCAUUCUUUUUGCUAUAACAUACACGACUGAAAUCGCAUCAGCCACACCGGCGGUCCUUUGUCAGCUCUGCCUCUGCCUGUGCUGUUGCUACUGGAGUGGCAGCUGCAGUGAGAAUCACGAGAGCACAGAAGCAGUCUGGUGUGGGGCCGAGGGGUGUCCUGUUCUGCACACGUGUUGGCGCCGACAUGCCCGAGGAUUUCAGCUGCUUUGGAGCAUUUAAGUGUUACAUCGGGAGCCUAGUCUGGUAAUGGUAACCUAAGCUACAAGCAGCAGGGAGGUAUUUGUGCUGUGCUUUGCUUAGAGAAGCAUUUCGAGCCUGUGACACUGUCUGACACUGACUGAUUAAGAUACAGGUACUGCGGCGCUGUCAGGAAAGAAGAAAGAGGACUUGCAGUGCUGUUGCUGCUCACGGAUCUCCAGCAGAGCAGCAGCAAGGCACCAGCACACAGCAGCACCGUGCUCCGCCACCUCUUCUGAGAAUUACUGCCUAGCCAACCCUGAAGCGAUUCAGUAUGCACCACAUUUCCAGCACAGCCUGCCCCUCCACACAGACUCUGAAGGCUAUAUACCACGGGUGAUCAGAGCCUCAUGACAGGGGAGGGGAUUGUGAUGGAAAGAGUCAAAGGAGCUUUGAGAAGGACAAAAAUCUGAACACACUAAUGAGUUUUAUCAGGAAACCAUUAGGAAGACUGCUGCUGCAGCAAACAAGACCAGAACCUAACAGGGAGAGAAAGAGAGCUACCAAGCUAUGCUACAGAUACAGACAGGUCUUCAUUUUCUCUAUGGCUUUAAAGACUGCCAUUUUUAAAAAGGAAGCAUUCAAAUCUCUCUCUGAAACUCCUUUUUCUGGGUAUCCCCAAAGCUCACUCUACACCAUUGGUGUGAACUGUGAAAGGGAUUGCUUUGCCAGGCAAAGACAUUUAUCACUUGUGUAUUCUGUCUUGAGGAUAGGCUUUUCAGUUUUACUUAAAUUCUUGGGGCUUUCCCGGGUAGAAGAGACAGGUUCCCCUCCCCAUACCUUCUCUUGGCAAGAGAUGAAGUGUUAUUUCCCUCUUCUGAGGGUGAUGCUGAAGCACUCAGAAACAGUCACACAAGUUUUUAUCCAGGGUGUCCAGACUUAGGAAUGCCCUUCAGCUCAGAUCUACAUUUUCUGCCUUUUGGGAUCACCUCUCCUCCUUAUAGCUUGUGCUGGCAGGAAUACAAGCAACAAAAAGAAGUCUCAGCUGUCAUCAGAAACCUGAGAUCACUUCAGACUAUAGUUCUCAUUUGUGUGCCAAACCAGGUGCGUUUGUCGUCUUUGUGGUGCAAGUGUCCUUGUCCUCCAUGAGGCAGAGGCUGGAGGAGACUGGAAGGAUUCUGCUCUUCCUUGCACCAGGAAGGAGGCUCCUGGAAGCCCAGGAGCCUCUGUUCUCCAUUACAACUGUGCUGUUUUCAUCUUGGCUUUCUCAAUAAAUAUUUAGUGGACAAUUCACAUUUUCCCUCCUGCUCUGACUAACAGAGUUGAUUAUUGCUAGGGUCAGGUGAUUACAUGAGCUACUUAAUAUUCACAGGCAGCAGUAGGAAAUAAGUACAAACCCCAUCUCCUCAGCUUUAAUUACAAUAUCAGUGUUAUCAAAUUCCAUGUGGAUACACCUCCCAAAUCAGCUCCAAACAAUUUCAGAUGCGUAUACUAACAAGAUCCACAACAUCUUUAACUCCUGAUCUUCUGUCAUUACAAUAUAAUUACUCUAAUGCAUCUUUACUGCACAACACCCAUCGAAAAUAAGAACCGUUGAGUAUACCAUGUAAUUAUAGAAUAAAGAUGUUAAUGUAAGCUUCCAGCUUAAAGUGACUCUCAGCAUUUUUCUAGUUCCAUUAUUCAACAUUCAUUGGCAACUUGACUCCAACCUGCUCCCCUUCCUCUGUGUUUUCAUGACAUACUUAUGCAAUUCUGGCACUGCAGUGUCCCAGGUAGCAUUGAAACCCCAAUAGAAAUACUGCUUAAGAUUCAAUAAGGUGGCAAUAAAGUGGCCAAGGCUUUUUGAUUUUAGCUCUGGGGAUAGAGGUGAGAAAUAGAGAAAGGUGAGUCAGGGAAGAGACAAUGCAGUUUGCACCUUGCUGAGCUAUGGGUCAGUCUGGGCCUUGUGUAAACAUGACAGAAGAGGUUAGGAGAGAGAUGAUAGAGAACUGGUAUUGGCUAAUUAAGAUAGGGAAUAACCUUAAUUAAAUGCUGACAGAGGAAGAAACAAAAGUCAACUAGUUAGGGAGAACAGGAUAAGCUUCAGCUGGCCUUUUGGCAAGGAGAAAUGUCUGUAUUUCAGAAGACAAAGCAUAAGCCAGUGGAAUAACUGAGUCCAAGCCAUAAGGAUUACCUCUCCUAACUAUAGCUCUGCAAGCAAACAGAAAGACAAAUAAGAACUCUCUGGUGUGUUUGAUUUCCAGGAAUUGACUAAGAUAGGAAAGAACAAGAUGGAUAAUACAGAAAGUUUUGGAGAAGAAGCAUUCCUCCUCUGAAAGGUAAAGGCCCUUCUUGAGUCUGUGCCAGGUAAACCAUAAGAAAAGUGCAGCUGCUUCUUGGGGCGGUUCUUCAUCUCUGUUGAAGUUUGAGUGGAAAUGAAAAUUAAGAGCUGCUAGGCUGAUCUUCAUCUCCAUGCUUCACCUGUCAGAUUUAUACCAUAUGCCUUUGCUGAUGUUUUGUCAUAUCUCAGUUCAGUCUGUUCGCCUGUUAACUGUUUUGUGUCCCACGUGCUUAUAAUAAGGAUCAUAAAUACCCAAUGAAAGGUACAGCCAUCACUUUCAACAGAAUAAACUAUUCUUUUCUCUCUGGAAAAGACUCAGAAAUGAAAACAAAACUACUUUAGAAUAAGUUUUUUUUUUCAUUAGCAGCUAACUAGAACAUGGAAGAGGCAGUUCCUAGGGCAAACUCCUUCCUGACAGUCAUUUUGCAUCUACACCUUAAAGAGUUACCUUCAGAGACAGAUCCCAGCCAAGGAGAGAUGGGGAUAACGCAGUUUCAAGUAAGCUAGAAGCUAGCACAUAAUUCCAUUUGAACCCAGAAUUUAGCUCACUGCUUAGGGUGCAUGUAUAAAAAUAGGGGCAAUAUAUAUAGUUCAUACAGGGAAACAGAAAGAGGAUGGGAAUGGACAGGAUUUAUGGUUUCACAGGGGGUCAUUUCUAAUUUUAAGGAGAUUUGUCUGCCCUGUUUCUAGGGCAGCAGGCAGGAAGUUCCUAAAUGGAAAAGGAAAAUAUUGUUCUACUUGAACAUCACCCUGGCACUGUCAGAUGAUUCACAGGCCCUGGAGAACACAGACAUUACCAGCUCAGCACAUCUAUAUACCAAUCACCAUUUGUCAUAUGCGAGUACUUCCCACAGUCCUAAAAAAGGAUUGGUUUUGUGUAUUAUUUGCUGGAAAUGUAACAAACUUCAUACUGAACAGCAAAAUAAAAACAGUACUUGAUUGUUUUAUUGACUGUUUGCCUAUUUACUUGGGAAAACUUCACUUCAGGAUUCUUUAUGCAAUCUAAUAAAAGGACCCCCACAGCUG